rnacentral:lncRNA from 1 species
UAACUUCUUUGGAUUUGAAUUUCUUCUGUCAGCAAUAGGAGAGAAGUUCAGUCAGAUGAUUUCUAUCUGUGGGAAUCCAACUUUGACUUGUGGUGAUCCUACCCCUUCCUCAGUCUUUUACAAAUUAAGUGGCCUCCUCACCUGAGACGAGUAGAACUGUAUGCACAGUAAGGCACCAGGACGGAUCUAGACUGGCAAAGAAGUGGUGAGAGAAAUGGGGAAAGGGUUAGGGAAGAAGGGAGAGGACUCUCAACUACAGUCAUAGUGAGACCUUGAGUGCCUCUGCGUUAGUCCUUCCUCUUCCUCUACUCCUUGUGUCUCAGCUGAAGGGCAAACUUCAGGGACAAUCUCAUUUUGUUUCUACCACUGUUCAGGGUCCCACCUUGCGACCCUCUCCUGAGAGGUUGUCCACAACUCUGUCCCACCCCCGUUCUCCAUCUUCUUCCGCCAGAUCUGGGGCUGGGGCAUUGGAGAGGGGAAAGAGGAAACGUCGUGGCUGGCAGGGUAGGAAGGGAUGCGUGUCCAGGUGAGAAAGAGGUGUGACGUGCAGAUGGGAUGCCCGCCGCUAUGACGCUGCCGAGACCCGCGGUGACUGCGUCAGAGUUUCACCCGGGGAGGUGAGCAGCAGCGGGACGGGGGAACGGCGGGGUAGCCAAGCAACGCCGGACGCGCUGACGUCGCCGGGGCGGCAAAACGUCCGCCCGGGCCCGAGGCGGGCGGAGGCAGCUGUGGUUACGUGCGGGGGGCCGGUGACGCAGUCGCGGGGCGCUGGGACGCGGCUUGCGGAGCCGGCCGGCGAGCGCAGGCCCCAGGCUCGGGCGCGGCGGCGGGACAGCACCUACCUUCCCGGCUUCGGGUCCGGGAGUGCGGGGCGCGGAGCCGCCGGAGCGCUGCCUCCCUCCUUCCUCCUCCCCUCGCCCCCGCCCCGCGGCGCGACACACAAUACUCGCCGGAAGCGGAAGCCGCGCCGAGGCUCGUGUCAGUGGAAGCUGGGGUGUCGGCGGGCGGCCGCGGCCGGGUCUAGCGGUGCCUGCGGAAGAAGGAGGAGGAGGGCUGGCGAUGAGAAGCAGCAGGGGGAAUCAAGGGCAAGAAGGGACCCAGAGGGGCAGGUGGCUGAGAUGCUGGCGUCCAGGUGACCCGAGGAAUCCUCUGGAGAUACAGGCCCGCGCAUGCGCGUGCUCGAGCGCUGAAGCCCAUUGCCCGCAGGGCGCUGGACUGGCGCCCCGGCCGGCGAGGCUGUCUAGUCCAGGCUCCAGGCCCCGGCUCUGGCCAGGCGCCGCCGCCUCCCGGUGCAGCUGAAAGUCGACGAAGAGGGCGGGGCGGGGGCGGCUUGUGGACUUCCACACUUUUCCUCUCUUCGGGCCAGUCUGGGGAGAGGGUGGCUAGCUGUGGCGGCGGCCAAUUACGUGGCGGACCUGCGGGGCUAAGCUGGCACGUCACUUCCGACUAGUGGAGUUUUUAGCCUUUUAACAUUCAAGGAUUAGAGCUCCCUCUUUGCCCACUAGCAGGGCAUUAGCUGGUGCUGAAGACAGUGGCUGCUUGGCGAGCCUGGAUCUCCAAGUGACCCCCUCAGCAACUCCUGAUGAACAGGACUGAAGCCAAUAUUAAAGCAAGUCAACCAAAGGUUCUCUGGUGUAGACAAGACAGCAAAAGGACAGACUACCUUGUGGAACCUAGCAUUGUUCUCCUUCUGCAGCACUAAGUAACAUUUGUUCUCCGUUAAGAUCUUUGCAAACCACACACAAGAAUUGCUGGUCAUCCUGCCAAUAGAUGCUGCUCACAGAACCAAAUUUCCUGUGCUGAAUUGUCACUCAUGGGCUUGAGAGUAGGAGACUGGAGACCAAGGUGGCUAGAAUCCAGUUGGGCCUGAUGUCUCCCUGUUGAAAGGGCUCCUUGUGGAAUGAAUAGCACAUGGCUCCUGUGGUGGAUCUGAUAGUGGCAUAGCACCAAGUGAUGCAGGCCUGCCAGGGGCCACAGACACAGAAGAUGCUCCCGGGGUCCCCCAUGUACUCCAGACACACUGCAGGCCACCUCUCCCAGCAGGUUGCCAGUCAUGGGCCCCAUCAUCAUGACUUCUGUCCAAGGUACUGUGUGCAGAAAUGUGAUUGAGAUUCAAGUCAGGGCCUCUCUGCCCUUUUCCCUCCAGAAACAAAACCAAGAUAAUUUAUCCUGAACACGGUGAAAAAAGGAAGGGAGGGAGGAGAAAAAGUCCGGGUCUCACCUGGGAUUCUCUGUCUCCUGCAACAUGAAGGAUUUAGCCUGGGAGGAGGUGGUGAGAACUCUGGGAGAGAAAAAAGAAGGAAAGAAUAGUUUUACCCAUGCUGAAGUUAAUUUAAACCUUCACCUAGAGAAGCAAAAAAAAAAAACCCACACUUUCCCAUUUUGUGCCUCCCUUCCUAGAGUUUUAGCCAAAGGUUUAGCUAAGUAAUUGGUUUUACCAGCGCACUCACUCCUCCUAUCCCAAGUCUGUUUGACUCCCUCCCCAUCAUCCUCCUCACCUCUUUUCAGGCAGGGUGGGGAUAGCAGCAGGAGGAGAUUUUGGGAGCCUGGCAACUCCUGCAAGGACCGCAGGACAGCCCCUCUGUGGGGAUGCGUGGUGCCCCAUCUGCCGCCCUUCUGAAGAAUGCACUGCCUUCACUUUUUACUGUGUUAGAGUCCAUCCAGACUGUUCUAUCCAAAAAAGUUUCUUUUUCCCCCACAGGCAAUCAGGAAAUGAUUCCUUUCCCGACUGCUUCUGUCUAGUGCCUGGGAAUCUUGAGUCAAUCCCUCAGUAAGUCAGUGACUAGGGAAAUCCCUCUCUGAGCCUCCCAGUUCAUGUUGCUUAGGGAACCUGAUAUUUUCGUGAAACCUGCCUACACAUGGGCAGCCCAACAGCAGAACAAAUGGUGGUGACCAAAGUGAACAAAGAAGUAUAGUUGUGCCAGCUUCGUAGUUGCCCAUGUGGACAAGUCAGCAGGAUCAGGACACGAGGAAGAGUAAAUGUGAGACAGUCAAUGUGACUUCUGCGAUAAACAGAUUUUUAAACCCCGAAAUUUUGCAAAAUUUUGGUGAAACCUGAACUUUCUUCGUUGCAUAUACUGGCACUAUCUGUACCAUCAUACAACUGUCUCACAUUAAAGCUAUUUUUCUUGGGCACUGAUGAGUAAGGGACUUGCACUUAGGAAUCUGUUACAGUGAGCACAGAAGCAGACCUGUGGGCUCAUAGUCUUCACCCCCCACCCAUAUAUACAAGAUGAACAGAGUGGAGGUUAAACAACUUGACUAAACAACACAGUUCAUGGUAAAGCCCAAGACUGUACCUGCCCAUCCACUGCCUUUUCCAUGUAUCCUGGAACUGAGCAUAGACCUCUUCCCAGGCAGAGCUGACAGCAAGUAAAGGAGAUCAUAAUCAGGGGACCAAACAACUUUGUCUAAAGUGUGAAUGUCACCUAAGGAGAAGCUGUGAGAUCAGAAGGGUGGGGCAGAGGAGCAGACACCAUGAGGGAGAGUCCUUGGGGGUACAUCUGCCAGACUGACACUGUCUGGCCUGGGCAGUGGAGGGGCUAGCAGGAACCACAGGUACUGGUGGUGUGGCUACUACCGUUACAACUGCCUGUGCUUGGACAUGGACCCUCUGCAAUAUGCGGCAGUUUCAUUCAUUGCCCCCUACAUUCUACACCAAGUAGAAAUGGAAGGCAAUUGGAUACUUCACAGACAAGAUCUAAGUGGAGAAGGAAUGCGUCCUGUGGCUGCAGAGAUCCUUGGAGCUUGGAGGGGAGAGCUUGAGCCCCACUGAUGAUGACCUCCCACAGCUCGCCAACUCAGCCCUCCCUAAGUCCCCAUCGGGGGCCAAUUCUCACUCUGGGGUUGGGGGGACUCCACCAUAGCUCAUCCAUCAUAGGGAUGUUGGUAUCUACUGUGGGUUGGGUAGGGCCGAUGUGCUGAGGAUGGCUCCCCCACAAGCAAGAGAUGUGGAUUUGGGGAGCUUCCCAUCUUGUGUUGAAGGAACAUAACUCAGAAUAAUAAGAGCCAACUAUAACAAACCCACAGCCAACAUCAUACUGAAUGGGCAAAAGCUGCAGGCAUUCCCCUUGAAAAGUGGCACAGGAUAAGGAAGCCCUUUCUCACCACUCCUAUUCAAUAUAGUGUUGAAAGUCCUGAUCACAGCAGUCAGGCAACAGAAAUAAUAAAGGGCAUCCAAAUAGGAAGAGAGGAAGUCAAACUAUCCUUGUUUGCAGACAGUAUGAUUCUAUAUCUAGAAAACCCCAUAGCCUCAGCCCAAAAGGUCCUUCAUCUGAUAAUUUCAGCAAAGUUUCAGGAGACAAAAUCAGUGUACAAAAAUCACUAACAUUCCUAUACACAGUCGCCAAGCCAAGAGCCAAAUCAGGAGCACAAUCCCAUUCAUAAUUGCCACAAAAAAGAAUAAAAUACCCAGGAAUGCAGCUAACCAAGGAAGUAAAGGAUCUCUACAAUGAGAAUCACAAACGCUGCUCAAAGAAAUCAGAGAUGACACAAACAAAUGGAAAAACUUUCCAUGCUCAUGGCUAGGAAGAAUCAAUAUCAUUAAAGUGGCCAUACUACCCAAAGCAAUUUAUAGAUUCAAUGCUAUUCCUAUCAAACUAUCAAUUACAUUUUUCACAGAACUAGAAAAAACUUAAAAUUCAUAUGGAACCAAAAAGCCUGAGUAGUCAAGGCAAUCCUAAACAAAAAGAACAAAGGUGGAGGCAUCACAUUACCUAACUUCAAACUACAGGGCUACCAUGACCAAAACAGCAUGGUACUGGUACAAAAGCAGACACACAGACCAGUGGGACAGAAUAGAGAGCCCAAAAAUAAGGCCACAAACCUACAGCCAUCUGAUCUUCAACAAAGUUGACAAAAACAAGCAAUGGGGAAAGGUCUCCCUAUUCAAUAAAUGGUGCUGGGAUAACUGGCUGGCCAUAUGCAGAAGAUCGUAACUGGACCCCUUUUACUAUGUACAAAAAUUAAGAUGGUUUAAAGAGUUAAAACCCAAAAUUAUAAAAAUCCUGAAGAUAACUUAGGCAAUACCAUUCUGGACAUAGGAACUGGCAAAUAUUUCAUGAUGAAGACACCAAAAGCAAUUGUAACAAAAGCAAAAAUGGACAAAUUGGAUUUAAGAGCUUUUUCAUAGCAAAAUAAACAACAGGGCAGACAAUCUACCAAAUGACAGAAAAUUUUUGCAAACUAUGCAUCUGACAAGGGGCUAAUAUCUAGCAUCUAUAAGGAAUUUAAACACAGUUACAGGAAAAAAAAAACCCACUCCAUUAAAAAAUGGGCAAAGGACAUGAACAGACACUUUUCAAAAAAGACAUACAUACAGCCAACUAGCGUGUUAAAGAAAACCUCAAUUAUCACUGAUCAUUAGAGAAAUGCAAAAUCAAAACCAUGAUGAGAUAUCAUCUGCCAGUCAGGAUGGCUACAAAAAAGUAAAAAAAUAAUAGAUGUUGGUGAGGUUAUGGAGAAAAGGAACUUAUACACUUGUUAGGAGUGUAAAUUAGUUCAAUCACUGUGGACAGCAGUGUGGUGAUUCCUCAGAGAGCUAAAAACAACUACCAUUUGACUCACCAAUCCCAUUACUGGAUAUUUACCUAAAGGAAUAUAAAUCAUUCCACCAUAAAGACACAUGCAAGUGUAUGUUCAUUGCAGCACUAUUAACAGUAACAAAGCUGGGCACAGUGGCUCACCUCACGACUGUAAUCCCAGCACUUUGGGAGGCUGAGGUAGGCGGAUCACCUGAGGUCGGCAGUUUGAGACCAGCCUGACCAACAUGGAGAGACCCCAUCUCUACUAAAAAUACAAAAUUAGCCAGGUGUGGUGGCUCAUGCCUGUAAUCCCAGCUACUUGGGAGGCCAAGGCAGGAGAAUUGCUUGAACCCAGGAGGCAGAGGUUGCAGUGAGCCGAGAUCACACCAUUGCACUCUAGCCUGGUGAAGGAGCAAGACUCCAUCUCAAAAAAAAAAAAAAAAAAGAAAGAAAGAAAAAUACACAUUCAGAGGAGACAAAAAAUAAAAAACAAUGAUGCAUGCCCACAGGAUCUAGAAAAUAACUUCUUAAGGGCAAAUCUAGGAGUUAUUGGCCUUAAAGAAGAGAUAGAGAAAGAGAUAGGAAUAGAAAGUUUGUUGAAAGGGAUAAUAACAUAGAACUUCCUAAACCUACAGAAAGAUAUUUAUAUCCAAGUACAAGAAGGUUAUAGAACACCAGGCCAAUUUAACCCAAAGAUUACCUCAAGGCAUUUAAUAAUCAAACUCCCACAGGACAAGGGUAAAGAAAGGAUCCUAAAAGCAGCAAGAGAAAAGAAACAGAUAACAUACAAUGGAGCUCCAAUACAUCUGGCAGUAUAUUUUUCAGUGGAAACCUUACAAGCCAGGAGAGAGUGACAUGACAUAUGUUAAAGUGCUGAAGGGAAAAAACCUUUUACCCUAGAAUAGUAUAUCCAGCAAAAAUAUCCUUCAAACAUGAAGAAUAAACAAAGACUUCCCCAGACAAACAAAAGCUGAGGGAUUUCAUCAACACUAGACUGGUCCCAUAAGAAACGCUUAAGGGAGUACUUUGGUCAGAAAGAAACAGACAUUAAUGAGCAACAAAGAAUCAUCUAAAGGUAAAAAACUCACUGUUAAGAGUAAGUACACAGAAAAACCCAAAGUGUGAUAACAUUGUAACUGUGGUGUGUAAGUAGAAAGAAUAAAUGAUAAACCAAUCAAAAAUAGUAACUACAACUUUUCAAGACCAGUCAGAAAAAUAAGAUAAAAUUAGAAACAACAAAAAGUUAAAAAGUGGGGGGAUGAAGUUAAGAUGUAGAGUUUUUAUUAGUUUUUUGUUUGUUAAUGCAAACAGUGUUACCAGGUUAAAAUAAUGGGUUACAAAAUAGUAUUUGUAAUCCUUAUGGUAACCUCAAACCUAAAAACAUACACUGGAUACAUAAAAAAUAAAAAGCAAAAACCUAAAUCAUAUCACCAGAGCAAACUACCUUCCCUAAAGGAAGACAGGAAGAAAAGAAAGAAGAAGACCACAAAACAACCAGAAAACAAAUAAAUAACAAGGCAGGAGUAAGUCUUUACUUAUCGAUAAUACAUUGAAUGGAAAUAUGGACUAAACUCUCCAAUCAAAAGACAUAGACUGGCUGAAUGAAUGGAGAAAACAAGACCCAUUGAUCUGUUGCCUACAAGAAACACACUUAAACUAUAAAGACACACAUAGGCUGAAAGUAAAGAGUUGGAAAGAGUUAUUCCAUGCCAAUGGAAACCAGGAAAAAGAGAAGGAGUAUUGAUUUUGAUACAAAAACUAUGAGACAAAUAAAGUCACUAUACAAUGAUAAAGGGGUUAAUAUGGUUUCCAUUUGUGCCCCACCCAAAUUUCGUGUUCUAUUGUAAUCCUCAAUGUUGGAGGUGGGGCCUGGUGGGACGUGAUUAGAUCAUGGGGGUGGAUCUUUCAUGACUAAUUCAGCACCAUCUUCUUAGUGCUGUUCUCAUGAUAGUGAGUUCUUCUGAAAUCUGGUUGCUUAAAAGUGUGUAGCACCUCUCCACACCACCCGCUUGCCUUGGUCUACUCCUGCUAUGUAGAUGCUUGCUCCCACUUUGCAUUAUUCCAUGAGUAAAAGCUCCCUCAGGCCUUCCCAGAAUCAGAUGCCGCUAUGCUUCCUGAACAGCCUGUGGAACUAUGAGCCAAUUCAACCUCUUUUCUUCAUAAAUUAACAAGUCUUGGGUAUUUCUUUAUAGCAGUGUGAGAACAGAAUAAUACAGAAAAUUGGUAAAGAGGAGUGAGGCAUUGCUAGAAAGAUACCUGAAAAUGUGGAAACAGCAGUGGAACUGGGAAAUAGACAGAGGUUGGAAGAGUGUGGAGGGCUCCGAAGAUAGGAAGAUGAGGGGAAGUUUGGAAUUUCUUAGAGAUUUGUUAAAUUGUUUUGACCAAAAUACUGAUGGUGAUAUGGACAAUGAAGUCCAGGCUGAGGAGGUCUCAGAUGGAGAUGAGGGACUUAUUGGGACCUGGAGUGAAGGUCACUUUUGUUAGGACAUUGUGGUUGGAGACAUUGUGCCCCUGCCCUAGGAAUCUGUGGAACUUUGAACUUGAGAGCGAAGAUUUAGGGUAUCUGGCAGAAGAAAUUUCUAAGCAGCAAAGCGUUCAAGACGUGGCCUGGCUGCUUCUGGUAGUCUGUGCUCAUAUUUGUGAGCAAAGACAUGACAAGAAACUGGAACUUAUAUUUAAAAAGGAAGCAGAGUGUAAAAGUUUGGAGAAUUUGCAGCCUGGCCAUGUUGUAGAAAAGAAAAAAACCAUUUUCUGGAGAGGAAUUCAAGCUAGCUGCAGAAAAUUGCAAGUAACAAGGAGCAAAAUGUUGAUAGCCAAGAUAGUGGGAAAAACACCUUGAAGGCAUUUCAGAUACCUUGGGGGCAGCCUCUCCCAUCACAGGCCCAAAGGCCUAGGAGGGAAGGAUGGUUUCCUGGGCCAGGCUCAGGGUCCUGCUGCCCUGCACAACCUCAGGAAACUGCUCUCCAAAUCCCAGCUGCUCCAGCUCCAGCUUCAGCUCAAAGGGCCCCAGGUAUAGCUCAGGCUGCUGCUCCAUAGGAUGCAAGUUAUAAGCCUUAGUGGCUCCCGUGUGGUGUUAAAUUAAGCCUGUAGGUGCACAGAGUGCAAGAAUUGAGGCUUGGGAGCCUCCAACUAGAUUUCAGAGUAUGUGUGGGAAAGCCUGGAUGUCCAGGCAGAAGCCAGCUGCAGGGACAGAGCCCUCAUGGAGAACCUCUACUAGGGUAGUGUGGAGGGGAAAUUUGGGGUUGGAGUUCCCACACAGCUUCCCCUCUGGUGUACUGCCUAGUGGAGCUGUGAGAAGACAGCCACUGUCCUCCAGAUUCCAGGAUGAUAGAUCUGCCAAUGACAGCUUGCACUGUACAACUGGAAAAGCCACAGGCAGUCAAUGCCAGCCCGUGAAAGCAGUGACAGUGGCUUACCCUGCAAAGUCCCAGGGGCUGAGCUGCCCAAGGCCUUGGGAGCCCACCCCUUGCACCAGUGUGCCCUGGAUGUGAGAUAUGGAGUCAAAGGAGAGUAUUUUGGAGCUUUAAGAUUUAAUGACUACCUGCUGGGUUUCAGACUUGCAUGGGUCCAGUAGCCCCUUUCUUUUGGCCAAUUUCUCACUUUUGGAAUGGGAGUGUUUACCCAAUUCCUGUACCCCCACUGUAUGUUGGAAGUAACUAACUGUUUUUUUAUUUUGUAAGCUCACAGGUGGGAGAGACUUGCCUUGUCUCAGGUUGAGACUCUGGACUUUGGACUUUUGAAUUAAUGCUGGAAUGAGUUAAGACUUUGAGGGACUGUUGGGAAGAUAUAACUGUAUUUUGCAGUAUGAGAAGGACAUGAGAUUUGGGAGACACCAGAGGUGGAAUAAUAUGAUUUGGAUCUGCAUCCCCACCAAAAUCUCAUGUUCAAUUGUAAUCCUAAAUUUUGGAGGUUGAGCCUGGUGGAAGAGGAUUGGAUAAUGGGGGUGGUUUCUCAUGGUUUAACACCAUCCCCCUGGGUGCUGUUCUCAUGACAGUGAGUGAGUUAUUGUGAGAUCUGAUUGUUUAAAAGUGUGUGCCACCUCCUCCCACUUUCCUCCUGCUCCAGCCAUGUAAGACAGGCUUGCCUCCCCUUCACCUUUUGUCAUGAUUGUAAGUGUUCUGAGGCCUCCCCAGCCAUGCUUCCUGUACAGCCUGCAGAACUGUGAGCCAAUUAAACCUCUUUUCUCUAUAUAUUACCCAGUCUCGGGUAUUUCUUUAUAGCAGUGCAAGAAUAGACUAAUACAGGGUUCAAUUCAGCAAGAGGAUAUAACAAAUAUAAAUAUAUAUGCACUCAACACUGCAGCACCCAGAUAUAUAAAGCAAAUACGAUUAGAGCUAAAGAGAGAGAGUGACCCCAAUACAAUAAUAGCUGGAGACUUCAACACCACAUUUUCAGCACUGGACAGAUCUUCCAGACAGAAAAUAAAAAAGAAACAUCAGACUUAAUCUGCACUGUAGAUCAAAUGGAUCUAAUACAUACUUGCAGAACAUUUUAUCCAAUGGCUGCAGAAUACACAUUCUUUUUUAGCACAUGUAUCAUUCUCAAGGAUAGACCAUAUGUUAGGUCACAAGUCUUAAAACAUUAAAAAAGUUGAAUACCAUCAAGCAUCUUCUCUGACCACAGUGGAAUACAACUAGAAACUAAUAACAAGAGGAAUUUUUGAAACUACAAAUACAUGAAAAUUAAACAAUAUGCUCCUGAAUGACCAUUGAGUCAAUGAAGAAAUUAAGAAGGAAAUUGAACAAUUUCUUGAAACAAAUGAUAAAGGAAACACAACAUACCAAAACCUAUGGGAUACGGCAAAAGCAGUACUAAGAGGCAAAUUGAUAGCUAUAAGUGCCUACAUGAAAAAAGAGGAAAAACUUCAAAUAAGCAAUUUAACAAUGAACCUUAACCAGAAAAGCAAGAGCAAAACAAACACAAAAUUAGAAGAAAACAAAUAAUAAAAAUUAGAGCAUAAAUAAAUAAAAUUGAAAUAAAAAUCAAUGCAAAAGAACAAUGAAACAAAAAGUUGCUUUUUUUCAAAAGUUAAACAAAACUGACAAGCCUUUAGCAAGACUGAGAAAAAAGAGACAAGAUACAAAUCAGAAAUGAAAAAGACAUUACAACUGACACUGCAGAAAUUCAAAGGAUCAUUAGGGGCUACUAUGAGCAACUCUAUGCCAAUAAAUUGGAAAAUCUAGAAGAAAUUGACAAUUCCUAGACACAUACAACCUACUGAGACUGGACCAGGAAGAAAUCCAAAACCUGAACAGACUAAUAACAAGUAACAAGGUUGAAGCCAUAAUAAAAAGUCUCCCACUAAAGAAAACCAAGGACCCGAUGGCUUCACUGUUGAAUUCUACCAAACAUUUAAAGAAGAACUAAUACCAAUCCCACUCAAGCUAUUGAAAAAUAGAGGAGGAGAGAAUAUUUCCAAAGUCAUUCUAGGAGACCAGUAUCACCCUGAUACCAAAACCAGACAAAGACACAUCAAAAAAAGAAAACUGCUGGCCAAUUUCUCUGAUGAAUAUUGAUGCCAGAAUCCUCAGCAAAAUAUUAGCAAACUAAAUUCAACAAUACAUUAAAAAGAUCAUUCAUCAGGGUCGGGUGCAGUGGCUUAAGCCUCUAAUCCCAGCACUUUGGGAGGCCGAGGUGGGCAGAUCACCUGAGGUCAGGAGUUCAAGACCAGCCUGACCAACAUGGUGAAACCUCGUCUCUACUGAAAAUACAAAAUUAGCCGAGUGUGGUGGUGCAUGCCUGUAAUCCCAGCUACUCAGGAGACUGAGGCAGGAGAAUCACUUGAACCCAGGAGGUGGAGGUUGCAGUGAGCUGAGAUUGUGGCACUGCACUCCAGCCUUGGUGACAGAGUGAGACUCCAUUAAAAAAAAAAUCAUUUAUCAUGACCAAGUGGGAUUUAUCCCUGGAAUGCAAGGAUGGUUCAACACAUGCAAAUCAAUCAAUGUAAUACAUCAUAUCAAAAAGAAUGAUUAAAACCAUAUGAUUAUUUCUAUUGAUGCUGAAAAAGUAGUUUAUAAAAUCCAACAUCCCUUCAUGAUAAAAACCCUCAAAAAACUGUAUAAAAGAAAUAUACCUCAACGUAAUAGCCAGAUAUGACAGACCCACAGCUAGUAUCAUACUGAAUGGGGAAAAAGUGAAAGACUUUCCUAUAAGAUCUGGAACACAACAGGGAUGUUCACUGUCACCACUGUUAUUCAACAAAGUACUGGAUGUUCUAGCUAGAGCGAUCAGACAAGAGAAGAUAUAAAGGCCAUCCAAACUGGAAAGGGAGAAGUUAAAUUACCCUAGUUUGCAGAUGAUAUGAACUUAUAUUUGGAAAAAACCUAAAGGCUCCACAGGAAAACUAUUAGAAUCAAUAAAUUCAGUAAAGUUGCAGGACACAAAAUCAACAUAUAAAAACCAGUAGCAUUUCUAUAUGUCAACAGUGAACAAUUUGAAAAAUUUUAAAUUUAAGAAGGUAAUUUCAUUUACAAUAGCCACACAUAAAAUUAAAUACCUAGGAAUUAACCAAAAAUGUGCAAGAUAUCUAUGAGGAGAAUUAUAAAACAUUGAUGAAAGAAAUUGAAGAGGACACAAAAAAAAUGGAAAAAAUUCCAUCUUUAUGGAUUGGAAGAAUCAAUAUUGUUAAAAUGUCCAUACUACCCAAAGCAAUCUACAGAUUUAAUGCAAUCCCUAUCAAAAUACCAAUAAUAGUCUUCAGAGAAAUAGAAAAAAAAAUCCCAAAAUUUAUAUGAAAACACAGAAUGCCCAGAAUAGCCAAAAUUAUAUUAAGCAAAAAGAUCAAAACUGGAGGAAUCACAUUACCUGACUUCAAAUUAUGCUACAGAGCUAUAAUCACCAAAACAGCAUGGUACUGACAUAAAAACAGACACAUAGUCCAACAGAACAGAAUAGAGAACCUAGAAACAAAUCCACACACUCACAGGGAACUCAUUUUUGACAGAGUUGCCAAGUACUUAUACUGGAGAAAAGAAAAGACAGUCUCUUCAAUGAAAUGGUGCUGGGAAAACUGGAUAUCCAUAUGCAGAAGAAUGAAACUAGACCCCUACCUCUCACUGUAGACAAAAGUCAAAUCAAGGCUAGGCAUGGUGGCUUACACCUGUAAUCUCAGCACUUUGGGAGGCUGAGGCAGGCGUAUCACGAGGUGAAGAGAUUGAGACCAUCCUGACCAACAUGGUGAAACUCACCCCCCCCCACCCACUAAAAAUACAAAAAUUAGCUGGGCGUGAUGGCAUGUGCCUGCAGUCCUAGCUACUCAGGAGGCUGGGGCAGGAGAAUCGCUUGAACCCAGGAGGUGGAGGUUGCAGUGAGCUGAGAUUGUGCCACUGCACUCCAGCCUGGCGACAGAGCAAGACUCCAUCUCAAAAAAUAAAAAAUAAAUUCAAAAUGUAAUAAAGACUUAAAUCUAAGACCUCAAACAUGAAACUACUAUAAGAAAACAUUGGGGAAAACCUCCAGGACAGUAGUCUGGCCAAAAAUUUCUUGAGCAAUACCCCACAAGCACAGGCAACCAAAAUAAAACUGGACAAAUAGUAUCACAUCAAGUUUAAAAGCUUCUACAAAGCAAAGGAUACAAUCAAUAAAGAGACAACCCACAGAAUGGGAGAAAAUAUUUGCAAACUACCCAUCUGACAAAGAAAUAAUAACCAGAGUAUAUAAGAAGCUCAAACAACUCUAUAGUAAAAAAAAAAAAAAAAAAAAUUCUAAAAGUCUAAGUAAAAAAAUGGGCAAAAGAUUUGAAUAGACAUUUCUCAAAAGAAGACAUACAGGCCAUGCGUGGUGGCUCAUGCCUGUAAUCCCAGCACUUUGGGAGGCCCAGGCGGGUGGAUCACUUGAGGUCAGGAGUUCGAGACCAGCCUGACCAACAUUGUGAAACUCCGUCUCUACUAAAAAUACAAAAAUAAGCCAGGCAUGGUGGCGCACACCUGUAAUCCCAGCUACUCAGGAGGCUGAGGCAGGAGAAUCGCUUAAACCUGGGAGACAGAGGUUGCAGUAAGCCGAGAUCACACCACUGCACUCCAGCCUGGGCAACAAAGUGAGACUCCGUCUCACAAAAAAAAAAAAAAAAAAAAAAAAAAAAGAAAAGAAAAAGGAAGAAGACAUACAAAGCCAGGUACAGUGGCUUAUGCCUCUAAUCCUAGCACUUUAGGAGGCCAAGGCAGAUGGAAUUGAGCCCAGAAGUUUGAGACCAGACUGAGCAAUAUGGUCAAACCCCAAUUCUGCAAAAUACAAAAAUAAAAAAUAGCUGGGAGUGGUGGUGCACACCUGUAGUCCCAGCUACUUAGGAAGCUGAGAUGGGAGGAUCACUUGAGCCUGCAGUGAAUCAUAAUUGCACCAAUGCACUCCAGCCUGGGCGACAGAGUGAGAGACAUUGUCUCAAAAAAAAGAAAAAGAAAAAAAAGAAAGGACAUAAAAAUGACAAACAGGCAUAUGAAAAGGUGCUGAUGAUUAUUGAUCCUCAGAGAAAUGCAAAUCAAAACUGCAAUGAGAUAUAAUCUCACCCCAGUUAAAAUGGCUUAUAUCCAAAAGACAGGCAAUAACAAAUGCUGGUGAGGAUGUGGAUAAAAGGGAACCCUCGUACACUGUUGAUGGGAAUGUAAAUUAGUACAACCACUAUGGAUAACAGUUUAGAGGUUCCUCAGAAAACUAAAAAUUGAGUUGCGAUAUGAUGCAACAAUCCUACUGCUGGGUAUAUACCCCACAAAAGACAAAACCAGCGUUUUGCAUGGUGGCUCACACCUGUAAUCCCAGCACUAUGGGAGGCCGAGGAGGGCAGAUCACUUGAGCCCAGAAGUUCAAGACCAGCCCGAGCAACAUGGCAAAACCUGAUUUCUACAAAAUACAAAAAAAAAAUUAGGCAGUUGUAGUGGUUCACACCUAUAGUCCUAGCUACUGUGGAGGCUGAGGUAGGAUCACUUGAACCUAGGAGGUGGAGGUUGCAGUGAGCCAAGAUCAUGCCACUGCACUCCAGCCUGGGUGACAAAGUGUGACCCUGUCUCAAAAAAGAAAAUCAGUAUAUGGAAGAGGUAUCUGCACUCCUAUGUUUUUUACAACACUGUUUACAAUAGCUAAGAUUUGGAAGCAACCUAAAUGUCUAACAGCAGAUGAAUGGAUAAGGAAAAUUUGGUAUGUAUACACAAUGAAGUACUAUUCAGCCAUAAAAAGGAAUGAGAUCCAGUCAUUUGCAACAGCAUGGAUGGAAGUGGAGAUCAUUAUGUUAAAUGAAAUAAGCCAGGCACAGAAAGGCAAACAUGGCAUGUUCUCACUUAUUUGUGGGACCUAAAUUCAAAACAAUUGAACUAAUGGACAUAAAGAGUAGAAGAAUGGUUACCAGAGGCUAGGAAUGGUAGUGGGGGGCUGAAGGGAAGGUGGGGAUGUUUAAUCGGUAAAAAAAAAUUUAGAAGAAUAAGACCUACUAUUUGAUAGCACAAUAGGGGGACUAUAGUCAAUAAUGCACAUUUAAAAAUAGUGUAAUUGAAUGGUUUGUAACUCAAAGGAUAAAUGCUUGAGGGAAUGGAUACCCCAUUCUCCAUGAUGUGCUUAUUUCACAUUGCAUACCUGUAUCAAAACAUCUCAUGUACCCCAUAAAUAUAUGCAGCUAUUAUGUACCCAC